CCAGGGCAGCCAGGGAAGGCGCCCAAUUCCCACCAGCUGAUGAACUGGCCCCCAGGAGAAAGCCCAGGGUAGGAGACGAAAGGCUGUGGAUUCCUCCUAUAUAGACACCUGAUCUGCGGAAGGGAGGAGAGGCUGAACCGGAGCUUACGCUCUGAGCCUAGAGACUGACCCCUGUCAUCAGUGGCAUUGCCUCCCUCGAGGAAAUACUUGACUUGGAAAAGCAGAAAGAAGAGAGAGCUGCAGACAAAACACCUAUUGUUAGUGAGAGCAGCCUGUUGAGACGUUGUGGCAGAAAAUGCUUACAAAGCAGAUAUUGAUCCAUCUCACAGGUGAAAGGUAUAAUUAGGCAUGCAGUCAAGGCCUGCAAGAUCCAAGACAAGAUCUUCUGAUGAAGGAAGGCCCUUGAUACGUCAAAGGGUGCAGGAAGCACAUGUAUGAAAUCAAUAGAGUGCAUCAGAGCUGAUAAUAAUGACAGAAGAUUGAUUAUACUGCAAAUGAUAGAACGAUUCCCUGGGAAGUUCCAGCAAUAAAGUCUCUGUCUUCCGGAGAUGACCUUCUGACUAUCUCAAAUAAGAAAAGAUUUAUGACAAGAAAUUUCUUGGGCUUGGUCUUGAGUGGAAGGUCUGGGAAAGUGCUACAGAAAAUAAGCAGUCUGAAUCUUCAGCUUGCGAAAACAAAGAAGAUAUUCAUCCCUGCCGGCGGUUCCCCCAACACGUCCCAGCUGCGUGUCCCCGGCCAUUGGGCACCACACCUGGGCCCCCACCACAGCUGCUCCCCCCAGCAGUGCCUGGGAAAGGCACCACGAGCCCUCUCUGAGGUCGGCACAGAAAUGACGCAGCUCAAAACUCUGCGUGCUGGGCAGCCGUGGAGAAAGCUGAUUCACACUGGGGCUGGGGCUGUCACAGGUCCUCAAGGAAGGCGCCAUCUCACAGGGCUGCAGUCAUCUCUGGGGCCUGGCACAGCAGAAGCUGCAGCUCAUUUUGAGGCGUGAAUAUUUCUGUAAUAAUAGUAAUAAUCCAGUUUGCCCCAAAUUUGCAGUUUCUGCUCAAACCAAAGUUCAUGGGAAACUUUUCUGGGAAAGAGGUCAAUCAUAUGUUUAAAGGAGGGGGGGAAAAAAACUUGCUGUGUGAGUUCACCUGCUUGCGAAGGACGUGAAAGAGUCAAAAGUGAAUGCACUGUACCGCUCAGCAUGCUGUGCUGAGGCAGAGCAGACAUGGUGGUGUCUCCAAGGAGUGCCAAGUUACCCAAUGUCUGCCUUCUGAGCUAGCAAGCAAUCCUCCUCCGGCUUUCUGUGGCUUUCUUUGGAGAGUUUUGGAGAAUUUUGUGCAUGAAGAAUGUCGAGAGCAAUAAAACAAACUCCUCUACUCUGCAUCGCUUGAGCAAGGAAUACAUUUUCUUCUCAAGGCAUUGUGCUGAUGGAUAGAUCCCUCACUAACGACACAGUACUGUUCCAGAUCCUCAAGCCUGAGCACCACAUAUCCUUUCAUUUCCAAUUGGAGUAAACAUUAUCAUUUAAUUUUUCAUCAGUAAUAACAUUUUCUUAAACUAACCUGUUCCACUUUGACUAAACAGAGACCUGAAAGGUGUUGUUCAGAUUUUUUGUGGGGGGAAUGGUUUUGGCCAGGUUCACAGACGAAAACAAGUAGAGAAUAACAUUCAGGCCUUAUGAAAGUAGCUGCUUCACAGAUUUAAUCUCAAAGUAGUAAUCCUCUCAAGGUUUCAGGUAUACCCAAAUCCUUCUGGAGUAAUAGGGAUCCGACCAAGGCAGCAGACAGGGACGGCUGUAGCAGAGAAAUAGUCCUUCUAGUUUUGAGUUUGAGCUAAAGGCAUAACCUUGAAAUUCAGCUCCAAACACCUUCGGUACCAAAUAAUGCUAUGUAGGCCUGGUUGUAAAUCCCAGUUUCCAGUGAGCAAUGACAACUCAGUGAAACGUCUGCAGUAACUUUUUUUAAUGUCGGCAAGUAGCUGAGUCUCCCUCCCUCUCCCAUCUCGCAAUCUCAUUCUCAUAAAUGUUUCCAUUCUAGCAGAAUUUUUUCCCAGAAAAAGCAACCUCGUAGCAGACGCUCAACAUUUCAGCUUGAAUUGUUUGGCAAAGUGAUAAGCAACUGAAAGUAGCACUUUUUAAUGGGAAAAAGUGUUGCGCAGCAGUCUCUGUACCACUCAUUAUUUUAAUCUGUUUGUCUAGCUGUGGUAUUACCAAGGCAUGUAUUACUGUAAUAUUUAGGGCACAAGCUCAAUGUCCAUUUAUUUUUCCAGCCUUGCUGCAAAGAUUUAGCAAAAUGAAAAGGGAAGAUUUCCUUGUCCCUCAUGCUUGGUAUAUACAGGUUUGGCAUCCCAGAUAAAGCGUAUUGUCAAAGAGAGGGGUCCUUUUGGGAACUCGAUACUUCCCUAGAGCCCCAAAUGGUCUAUUUGAAACAUGUGCUGAAACUCUGUGCCUGGUGGUGUUUUAGUUACACAUGCUAAGACUAGAAUAAUUGAGACUCCUCCUUGUGACUGUAAUUUGGAUUUCUUUCACCUCAUGCCCUGGUGAUGGAAUGCAUUACUCACAAACUAAUUAGAGCAUCUGAAUUUAUACAUCAUUAUUGAUGUCUUUGUUUCUUGCCAAAAUAGGUUUGGUGUUUUACAAAGCAUGAAAGUGGGCAGCGCCUGCCCCAAGGAAAGGUUGACAUGCACACAAGAGGUGUUGGCUUGAACAAAGCUACUUUAAUGAUUGAUGGAAAAAAUAUUUGGAGGAGAAACAAAGCUUCUUUUCCUUCCAGAUGUAAUUAGAUGAGAAACACAAGAAAGCAAUUGUGGAUCUAGAUUGUGGCAGAUAAGGAACAUUCAGUAGUGCUAGGUACGUAGUGGAGCGGGCUACGGUCAUGUCCACACCUGAUCAAGAAAGGUGAAUUCAGACCAGACCAGGACAGAGAAGGGCUGAUGGACCCAAAGGAUAAGGUCAUGGUUAACCUAUCCCAAGUGAGAACACCUGGAGACUAUGGCCUCACAAAUGAAGUCAGAAGUAUGACAAGAACAGGAAGGGUGCAUGGCAGUGUGGGCUGUACAAAACCGCUGGGAACAGCUGCACAUGAUUCUUCAGGAGCUAUUUAAGGUGAAUAAUGCUGAUAUGCUGAUAGAAGGAUUAAUGGGGAGUUAGUAGACUUGGAGAUAUUUAAGCUAGACAUCAGAAGCCUGGCAGCAUGAGGAGUCUGCAACAACCUUCCCGUGGAAGAGAGCAGAAGGGUGGGGGCAGGGUUGUAGGAUGGAACCCAGCCCAGCACGAGGCCAGUGAUAUGAUGCAGACCCCAGAGAAAUGGGGUCAGCAUUGGUGGAGUCCCUUCCAAUACUGAUUUUUUUUAAGAAAUGGGCAGGAACUGCUAACCUGUCAAGCUGUAUUCCCUUGAAAGACAAAGGAUAUUCUACACAAGAUAUGCUACUCGUAUUUCAUAUGUUGCAUUAUGUUACAGGGGAUACAUUACACCCAAGCUUGUCCUAAUACCAGUUUUUCCACCCUAUGUAUAGGGGACACAACUCAGUGAUGUAUCUCCCAGUUCCAGUGAAUUUACUAAUCUAUUUUUCCCAGCAGUUUUUCUGAAAUCUGAUUGCUACCUUCUCUAUCUACAUGAACCAAAGGUCUAAUGCAAGUCUACUGAACUUGAGGAACAGAGGCUGAAGCAACUUGUUGAAGAAGGCCUUGGAUGCUCUCUUAUUUUGCAAGGCCUGUUCUGCCCACCCGUAAGUAGGGAGAGUCAAGAACGAGACUAAUACUUCUCUCUCCUUCUUACUUCUUCUCCCUUUGGUGGAAGCACCUAGCCUUUCUCAGUACACAUGAGCUUUGAUUUCAUCCAUUUCCUCCUUGCAAGACAUAAGAAAAACUUUAUACGUCUCCUCCUCCUCCGUAUUAGCCAUGAAUGGUUAAUCACAAUCUCUCCUUCCAUUAGCAGAAAGGAAAGAAUCCGUUUUCAGAUAUUUCCCUUCAUAUUUCAUUUGCUGUAAUUAAACUAUUCUUUCAGUGUCCUUGGAAACGAAAUAAAUUAACUACAGUAACAGCAUAUACUUUCUCCCCUUGUUAUGGGUAAAAUGAUACUCACCACAUCAGC